rnacentral:snRNA from 1 species
UGGCUUGGGCAGCUCAUAUGCUAAAACUGGAACCAUAAAGAGAUUAGUAUGGGCCCUGUACAAGGAUGACAUGCAAAUUCCUGAAGCGUUCUAUAUUUAA